rnacentral:rRNA from 1 species
AUGGUUAAGUGACUAAGCGUACACGGUGGAUGCCUUGGCAGUCAGAGGCGAUGAAGGACGUAUUAACUUGCGAUAAGCCCAGAUUAGGUAGUAAAAACCAUUUGAGUCUGGGAUUUCCGAAUGGGGAAACCCACUUACAUAAGUAAGUAUCUUGUUGUGAAUACAUAGCAACAGGAGGCGAACCGGGGGAACUGAAACAUCUAAGUACCCCGAGGAAAAGAAAUCAACCGAGAUUCCGAAAGUAGCGGCGAGCGAAAUUGGACUAGCCCUUAAGCUUUAUAUGCGUUAGACGAACGGUCUGGAAAGUCCGGCGAUACAGGGUGAUAGCCCCGUAGUUGACAACGCACAUUCAGUGAAAUCGAGUAGGGCGGGACACGUGAUAUCCUGGUCUGAAUAUGGGGGACCAUCCUCCAAGGCAAUACUACUGACUGACCGAUAGUGAAC